rnacentral:rRNA from 1 species
UACGUAGGGUGCAAGCGUUGUCCGGAAUUAUUGGGCGUAAAGGGCGCGUAGGCGGCUUCGCAAGUGGAAGGUGAAAUCCCUCGGCUUAACCGAGGAACUGCCCUCCAAACUGCGUUGCUUGAGGCCGGGAGAGGUGAGUGGAAUUUCCAGUGUAGCGGUGAAAUGCGUAGAUAUUGGGAGGAACACCAGUGGCGAAGGCGGCUCACUGGACCGGUUCUGACGCUGAUGCGCGAAAGCGUGGGGAGCAAACGGG